rnacentral:sRNA from 1 species
AUUUGUGUGAGGAGCGAACCAGUGAGGGAGCCGAGACGAAACACGGCAAGUCGUCGGCUCCCUUUCUG